UUUUGAUAAAGACAUAAAUUGAGCCUCGGCCUCAUUAACAUCCUCUCUUCCUUGUUGCGGUGAAGGGGGUAGUUUGUGUGUGGCUGAGGAGGACAUACCAGAGCCACCGGAUUUUAAUCCUCUUUUAAGGAUUUGACGACGCUGACAUGGAUAAACUUUAAUAAGGACACUGGGAGGAUCACGGACGAGUCUCUUCAUUGUGGUAUCUCCGUAAUUUUAAAAAGCACUAAAUUGACGAAUGACAAUCUGAUGAGGUUGUUUUAAAGAUCUAGGUGAAGGGAAUAAGAUCGGUGUAACAUAUUGGGCAGUGAGUGAAUAUUUAUCCUCAGUUGAUGCAGAAAAAACUGGAAGGAUUUAAACAACCUUCCUCUUGCCCAUUUUCCCUGAUUUGAUCAACUUUGAAGACAAACCGUUCACUUGCUGCCUAAUAUAUCCCACUAGUCAACGUGUUCCAUUCAUUUCGUAUGUAUAUUCUGUUAUAGAUUAUAGUUGUCUGAUGUAUUUAUGCAUUUGGCCUCUUGUAGGGCCUCCAUAGACAAAGGGUUAGACAAAGAAUUCUUUCUGUACCCGGCCCAGAGGUUCUGGUGCUGUGUGGGUUGGGCAACAGACCAAGGUGGGACCUUGCUGGUCUGAUCCUCUGUUAUGGAAGCUGGUUAACAUGCAACAUAUUGUAGUGUCAAUAAAAACAUCUUGAAUCUUGA